rnacentral:lncRNA from 1 species
GCAAUUUUUCUUAAUUAUGUAAUACAUUUUUCAUGUUUAAUUUUCUGUACUCCUAUCACUAAUUCAAAUCAAAACACUAUUUUAUUAAACUGUCUGAAGAAAUAUGCACUGAACUAUUGCAUAGGUAAUUCAUAGCUCUUCCAAGGACCCACAGGUUUUGAAAAACAGAACUGUGUUUUAUGCUGAAAUCAUAAAUUCUCUUUCCAGGCAUAAUAAUUUUCAUACUGAAAUGGUGAAUUGUCUUUCCAGGUAUACCAAUUUACUAUGCCUAAUCCCAAAGACUCAUAGUAAGUCGCUUUAAUUAUGGUUGUUGUAUAUCAUUUCUAGGUAAGAAAACGUUAUGUAAAAGUUGCCAAAGGCUUGAGAAAAAAUGGCCACAGAUCAACUUAAACAACUAUUAUUCUGAUUCAUUUUUCAAAUACCUAAAUAAUACUAUUACAUUUUCAGAGAAAAGUCUAAACUCCUUAGCACAAGUUUCAAUGUUCUAUGCAAUAUCAGUUAAGCAAGACUUCUCCACCUUUGUUUUGUAAUCCCCUCUAUUUCUUCACUCAAUUUGCCCCUCACUACAGCUGAUUUUGCCAAUUUUCUGCUGGCAUGCAACCUUGCAGAGAUGUGGCGAUUUUCUGCAGCUUCAUUCCAUGUAGUCAAAAGGCCACUGAAAGAAGUAGCUUCCUAAUAUUCAGAUCACAGCCAAUUCAGUUUGGCAAGAGACGGUUUAUUUAUUUUUAAAUAUUUCUUAGUAUUCAAUGAAAUGUUUUAUAUUUAGUAGUUAAAAAUACAUACAGAAUUUAAAACAUUUUCUAAAACUGAUAUCCCCUUCUUUUAUUUGUAGACCUAAAACUAAAUGAAUAAAAAACAUUCAGGUCAAAAAUAUGACUCUCAUUUUUAAAAAUACUACUUCAUGUUGUUUAUGGUGCUAUAGACUUACACUCUUUUAUAACUGAAAGAAAUAUUAAUGACAAUUAUAAAAUCAGCCAUUGAAAGGAUUUUAAGAAAAACAACUAUUGCAACUGCCAUAAUUUGGUGGUAUUGGAAGGCAGCAGAGGUAUAAUACAGCUGAUGAUUGGCGGGGAUAACUGGCAGCUCCAAGCCAGGCAUUCCAUCAUGUCAGAGCCCAGCAGGAAACAUGCAACAAAAUCAACAAUCACUUUUAUAUGUACAGUUCUUUAUCAUUCAAAUGCCUCUCUCAAAGUACUUUACAAGACUGUACAAUGACUGCAAGAAAUAGCGACAUGAAGCAAGCAACUGAAAGCUAAAUAGAGGGAAAAAGUGAUCCUUAUGUAUUUGAUUGGCGAGAACAGAACAUCUUUGGGCAUUUUGAUUUGGAUGAAAAGAUGUUAAAUAGUCAAGACAUGAGGCCCCAUUGGGGGAUGUUUGUUCAAUGGUCAUUUCGGUAGAACUAUGCAAAUAACACCAAGAGAGUCCUAGGUUUAGCAGAUAUAAUUCACAGAAGAAAUUUCAACACAUUAUUUUUUAAGUUUGCAGACAAGGUAGAAAGUGAAUCACCUAGAAAUUUUUAUGACCACUUUAAAUUUAUUCUGGAACAAGAAACUGGAGUGUAUGAGGAUAGGAGCAACCAAAUAGGCAAACAAACAAAAUGCUCUUUAUGCCUUUAUUUGCACUGUAUUGAUAAAAACAAGGUGCUUAAAAAGCAUCUAUUAAAAUAAGUUAUCUCCCUAUAUAGUAUGUAGUAAUUGUACAUUUUAUUGGUGAUAAUAAAAUGCUCUGCUUUCACUGUUUUGUAACUUGCUUUAGUGUAAGAUUUCUCAAUAUAAACAUUAUUGUCAUUUUAAGGCAAAUGAUUUCUGGGGUGAGUGGUGAGGGGCUCCCUGGUGCACUGUAAGUUGUUUAGCAUCUUCUCUGGUCUCUUUCCACUAGUUGCAGUCGUAACUUCUAAGUCGUGAUAGCUAAGCAUGUCCCCAGAUAUUGCCAAAUGUCGUUUUCAUUCGUUUGUGUGUUUUUCUUUUGGGGGAUCGAAAGAGCCAAAUAAUCCUCUGUUUUGAGGACCAGUGCUACAGUAUGACAGAACAUUAGUUUUGCUGAACUACUUCUGCCUCCACCUGUGAGUUGCUGCUGACUUUACUAAGUCUUUAAUGUCGUCAAUUCUACCAUAACAUUUAAUUUAUCACACUCUAUUGUAAUAGCCAACUUCUUCAUGUGCUGACUCAUCUGGACCUAAGGACUGUGAAAGCAGAAUUCUUGACUCCAUUGUUGAUCAUGGUUUCCCUGAAAGAAGCACAGAGCUUGGCAUAUAGCACUAAUAAAUAUAUGUCUAUUGAAUAAAUUACCUUCUUCAUAUUAUAAGUUCAUGUACAAAAACACAGAAAACAGCAUGGACAAAAGAGUCUGUAAAUUCAGAAUAUGUUUGCUUUAUAGACGAAUAGCUUAAGGCUCUGAAAGCGACACAGAGACUGAAAGGUAAUGCAUGGUUAUGUAAAGGCUGAGUCUAAUGACUAAAUUUAUCAUUUUUGGUUCCUAAGCAUAAACAUAUUAUCCUCCUGAGGCAAGAAAGUAUUAACCCGGGCCUCCAAAAUUAAAUAAUUUCAAUAAAGAUAGAUUGGUCAUACUCAUGCUAUUAGAGAAUGUAGUACACUGUUAUGGAUGUAUUAACCUGUUUUAUAGAAACUUGCAUCGUCACUAUGGGGCCAUCUAGAUCAUUUUAUCGAGAUUAUAAAACAGAGUCCAGAGGGAAGUAUUCUAAGUUUAAUAUAAACUUGCAACUAAAAAUUUAUAGAACUAUAUGUCUUCUGUGAGGUCUUAAUUGCUUUGGGUCGUUUGGGGAAUGAGAAAAAAAUGAAUGAGUACGCAUUUUCUCUUAUACAAAUGUAAAAAUACAGGACACAAUAAAAUGCCUUGUUAUGAAAUUGUACUUCCUGUACAAAAGUUUGCACCUAUGAGCUCCUUAAUUUUCUAUAGACCUAUUUUCCUUUUCUUGGUUGAAUAAAAUCAUAAUGAUAAAGAAAGGAAUUUUUCGGUCUUUUGAUGAUAACUAAAAAAAAGAUUUCUCUUGCACUAUGUAUACUCUCAUAGAUUACCUUUCUCAUUCUAGCUAAUCUUUAGGCAAGUGUUUUUAUCCAAUUUAUUUUUCUCUUCCUUUUCCAGUUUUUCUGGGGGAAUGUGUGGCUAACCAUAGCAUUAAAACAAUAUAUGUUGUCCUAUAAUAUUUGUGGGCUAUAUCUUAAUAUUUUCAUUUCUCUUACAUUUAGAGUUUCCAGAAACAAUUGAAAAACUGUCUUAGGAUGGCUAAAAUAAUUGAACACAUUUUUAAAAAAAAUUUGUUAUUCAAUAAUUCACUGAUUUUUGUCUUUUAAUCUCAUUCAGUUAUAGUUAUGUCCAACAAUCCUUUUCAUAUCUUAUACCAUUUCAUAGGUAAGAAUACUUCCCACUUAUUCAAGAAAAAUCACUGUGUGUGUAUGUGUGUGUGUG